AUCUGACAGAGAUACUGAGAUGUUUUGCCAGUUCCCAGGAAACCAGUGGGAAAGACAGAGUCGCUGCCAGAGGUGCCCCAGCAAGCCAGCAAGCCGUGGCUUUCUCUGGCAUAACGCAAGCCCUUAGGAGCUGUGUGAUCCCAGCAGUUGCUCUAAAGGUCAAAUCUGAAACUGGUUAGGUAACAAGACUGGACAGCGCACUGAAUCUGAGAAAAUGAAGGGGCCCUAGAGGUUGGAAAGUCCAAAUCUUCACUGUGCAAAAGAGAAAACUGAGGCCCAGAGAAUAGGAACAGCUAUGCAUAUGAUUUUGCUGACAAAAUCCAUCUGCACCUGCAAGAACAAGGCUCAAAUCCUGGGUGAGGAUGGAUCUUUCACCAAGUGUGGCUUGAGGCCCACUGAGAAAUACUGCCCCACCCACCAAACUUACCACAAUGA